GACGAACGCUGGCGGCGCGCCUAACACAUGCAAGUCGAACGAGAGAUGAGGAGCUUGCUCUUCAAAUCGAGUGGCGAACGGGUGAGUAACGCGUGAGGAACCUGCCUCAAAGAGGGGGACAACAGUUGGAAACGACUGCUAAUACCGCAUAAGCCCACGGCUCGGCAUCGAGCAGAGGGAAAAGGAGCAAUCCGCUUUGAGAUGGCCUCGCGUCCGAUUAGCUAGUUGGUGAGGUAACGGCCCACCAAGGCGACGAUCGGUAGCCGGACUGAGAGGUUGAACGGCCACAUUGGGACUGAGACACGGCCCAGACUCCUACGGGAGGCAGCAGUGGGGAAUAUUGCACAAUGGGGGAAACCCUGAUGCAGCGACGCCGCGUGGAGGAAGAAGGUCUUCGGAUUGUAAACUCCUGUUGUUGAGGAAGAUAAUGACGGUACUCAACAAGGAAGUGACGGCUAACUACGUGCCAGCAGCCGCGGUAAAACGUAGGUCACAAGCGUUGUCCGGAAUUACUGGGUGUAAAGGGAGCGCAGGCGGGAGAACAAGUUGGAAGUGAAAUCCAUGGGCUCAACCCAUGAACUGCUUUCAAAACUGUUUUUCUUGAGUAGUGCAGAGGUAGGCGGAAUUCCCGGUGUAGCGGUGGAAUGCGUAGAUAUCGGGAGGAACACCAGUGGCGAAGGCGGCCUACUGGGCACCAACUGACGCUGAGGCUCGAAAGUGUGGGUAGCAAACAGGAUUAGAUACCCUGGUAGUCCACACCGUAAACGAUGAUUACUAGGUGUUGGAGGAUUGACCCCUUCAGUGCCGCAGUUAACACAAUAAGUAAUCCACCUGGGGAGUACGACCGCAAGGUUGAAACUCAAAGGAAUUGACGGGGGCCCGCACAAGCAGUGGAGUAUGUGGUUUAAUUCGACGCAACGCGAAGAACCUUACCAAGUCUCGACAUCCCUUGACGAUGCUGGAAACAGUAUUUCUCUUCGGAGCAAGGAGACAGGUGGUGCAUGGUUGUCGUCAGCUCGUGUCGUGAGAUGUUGGGUUAAGUCCCGCAACGAGCGCAACCCUUAUGGUCAGUUACUACGCAAGAGGACUCUGGCCAGACUGCCGUUGACAAAACGGAGGAAGGUGGGGAUGACGUCAAAUCAUCAUGCCCUUUAUGACUUGGGCUACACACGUACUACAAUGGCGUUAAACAAAGAGAAGCAAGACCGCGAGGUGGAGCAAAACUCAGAAACAACGUCCCAGUUCGGACUGCAGGCUGCAACUCGCCUGCACGAAGUCGGAAUUGCUAGUAAUCGUGGAUCAGCAUGCCACGGUGAAUACGUUUCCGGGCCU
rnacentral:rRNA from 1 species